rnacentral:antisense_RNA from 1 species
AUUGGAACAUUUAAAGAAUUAAAUAUUUGACUAUUUAUUCGUCUUCGUCGUCAUCUUCAAUAUCAUCAUCAUCACCCUCACCGCUAUUAGAGUUUAGCCCAAUUUCUUGGUUUAUUAGGCCGGGAAUCAUCCACUGCUUGCUGUUUUCAAUUUCAAUUGCACGUUUUAAUGCAAUACUUUUUUCUAUUUCAAACAUUUGUUUGCUCUCCUCAUUAGUGAAUUCCUUAAUUUGAAUAAGGAAAUCAUGUACAAGUCUUUGAAAGUCAGAGAUGGUUUUGCUAUGAACACUAUUGAAAAGUUCAAGUACAAAGACUUCAACUUGCUCUUUUUGGACGGUAAUGAACGAUUUGAUGAGUAAGUCUGCAAUAUACUCCAUAACUCCUACUUUUGAAAUUUUACAUGUGGUUCCUUGGCAAGAAUCGCAUAUUAAUGAAGAGUUAGAAGCUAUAUUUGUUUGCUUAUUGCCUUGAUUUCCUUCAAAUAGAGAGAAUUCUGAGAUUUUAAUCAGCUCAUAAAGUACCAUUGUUUGGUACUGAAAACCCGAUGUAUGUAAUGUAUCUGUCAAUACACAAAAUAUCUCCCUAAUUAUUGACAAGUAGAAUGCAUGGCAAAAUUGAAAAAGUGUAUUGCUUUGAGCGCAUGAACUCUGAAUACCGUUAUUCUUCGAGCUAUUAUGAUUAAUCAAAUUAAUUAAAAAGUUGUACAAUACAAUUAAUCCUUUUUCCGCCAUAUUUGGUUGUUCAUGUCUAAUAGCCCAAAUAAUACUCUCAAUAUAAAGCGUUAAUAUAUUUCCUGGCAAGUUGAAUAAUUGCAAGAAGCAAAAUUCAUUACAAUCAGCCAGGAAAGAAUAAAAAAACUCUCUAUGGUCUGGGUAUGCAUGAAAAUUGUCCUUAAUCAUGGAUAAAGUGGAUUCGAAGAGAUGGUAAAUGAUAGCAUUAAACAAAUCAUUAUUCGCUUUAACAAUAUCAUUUAAACGCACGAUAAUUGUACUCGAUAAAAUAAGUACUUGAGAUUCCUUAAUCUCAGAAAUGCAUGCAUGGUAAUCUUCUAAAACUGGAAUAAUAAUUGGAUGUAUAAUAUAUUGCAGCAUUUCUGUCCCUGUGAUAUUGUGAUACAAAAUCGAUUGUAUAUCUGUUAUAUAUCCAGAAAGAUUCUUGUUUUCGCUUAACUUGAGUUUUUUUCUAGGUGCGAUAAAAGAAAUAAAAGAGUUAAUUAAUUUAAUUAUUUCUUUUUUGGAAAUUCUUAAUUGCUUAAUAUGAGCAUGGGAAAUAAUUACAAUCCCUUUUCGCUGAACUUCUCCAGCUAUGAAAUUAGAAUAUAAUUUAUAAAGCUCAACUAAGAACGAACUUCUUUCAAUAAGUACACGGGCAAAUCCAACUCCACAGCUAGAUGCAAUUGUUUCCAUAAUGCGUACAAUAAUAAUCAAUUUUUGUGAACAUUCCAUCGAACACAAUUCAUUUAUUAUACCUUGGUUAUCAGGAUUAGAUCUCAAUUCAACCAAUCUGGAGAUAAUGUCCUUCCAAUAUAAACUAUCAAAAAUGAGUAGUAAUUCAGUUACGUACAGAUACUGCUCAUCAACAUCCUUUAGAGAAGAGAUAGUUAAUGAGAUUCCCUGUAUUAGAAUAAGUAUUUGUUUGUCAUCAAGAUGCUGUUUUAGCUCGUGAGAAUAACCUAUCAUAUACUUUAAAAACUUAAUUUCUUGUGAACCGCCGUCAAUAAUUUCUGGCAGCAUUUGAUUACUUGAACUUCUAUUAUUUCC